rnacentral:sRNA from 1 species
UCAAAUCUAACACGCAUGUUAUCAAUCGA